rnacentral:rRNA from 1 species
AUUGAACGCUGGCGGCAUGCCUUACACAUGCAAGUCGAACGGCAGCACGGGGGCAACCCUGGUGGCGAGUGGCGAACGGGCGAGUAAAAUAUCGGAACGUGCCCUGGAGUGGGGGAUAACGUAGCGAAAGUUACGCUAAUACCGCAUACGAUCUAUGGAUGAAAGCGGGGGAUCGCAAGACCUCGCGCUCGUGGAGCGGCCGAUAUCUGAUUAGCUAGUUGGUGGGGUAAAGGCCUACCAAGGCGACGAUCAGUAGCUGGUCUGAGAGGACGACCAGCCACACUGGGACUGAGACACGGCCCAGACUCCUACGGGAGGCAGCAGUGGGGAAUUUUGGACAAUGGGCGCAAGCCUGAUCCAGCAAUGCCGCGUGAGUGAAGAAGGCCUUCGGGUUGUAAAGCUCUUUUGUCAGGAACGAAACGGUCCGGGUUAAUACCCUGGGCUAAUGACGGUACCUGAAGAAUAAGCACCGGCUAACUACGUGCCAGCCGCCGCUGUAACAC